rnacentral:rRNA from 1 species
UACGAAGGGUGCAAGCGUUGUUCGGAGUUACUGGGCGUAAAGAGUGCGUAGGCGGUGCUCUAAGUUUGGUGUGAAAUCUCCCGGCUCAACUGGGAGGGUGCGCCGAAAACUGGAGUGCUCGAGUAUGGGAGAGGUAAGCGGAAUUCCUGGUGUAGCGGUGAAAUGCGUAGAUAUCAGGAGGAACACCUGCGGUGUAGACGGCUUACUGGACCAUGACUGACGCUGAGGCACGAAAGCGUGGGGAGCAAACAGG